GAUCAAAUUAUGAAGCUGCAGGCCCAAUUAUUGGAACAACACAAAAUAUUAGAUAACAGCAAAGCUAAGGAUGCUCAAAUUUUGAGUCUACAAGCUCAGUAGGGGAAAAGAACAAAUUGGAACGGAACAGUUUCCAAACAGUGAAGGAGGUUUUUCCAAACUCAUCCCUAACUGAACAUGAGGAUGAAUUGGCAUUAGGCGAACACAGUCAGUUAUUCAGUCUACCACCUGACAGUGUGUUAAAGUUAAAUUCUGUUAGUGCUGCACUAAAAGAAUUGUUAGUAAUAAUUCCAUGCAGCGAAGGAAGUGAACAAUUGUGGGACCGUAUUUGGGCUUAAAAUGGGUGUGGUACGGAAACCCAGAAAUAGCACGAGUUCAACAUAAAACAUGAAUUAGAAUUUUAGCGGGGGAUCAAGUCAAGUCUGGAAGUGUUACAGGAGGGAAGAGUGAGCCUACCGUUGAAAAACAUUGAAAGUUCAUUACCAUUAAGGUGUGAGGUAAAGUAAUAGAGUAUGCAAAUUGUCUAAUGAGAAGUACCAUCUUGUGUGAAUGAAUCCUGUGUAACAGCAAUCCUUUAUAGUUCUGUCACAGCUAGAAGCCUCAAAUAAUUCUGCUUCUCUUGCUAAAGAACAACUUGUCCUUUACGUUCAGAGUGUUGGUGAAGCUGGGUACUUAAAUGGCCCUAAAGAUGUUUCAUUUCGCUGGCAUUGCAGCGAUGAACAUCAUACAUGGACUUUUUAGGAAAGGAUUUUCAGCAUACUGGGAACACAACUAUCAACAAUGCAACAUUCUAUGGGUGCUAUUUUAUCAUUCAAGAGCCUUAUACAAUGAUUUUCAUCUGCAAUUUGUAUGGCCUUUCCCAAGCUUCUGCCAGAAAUUGAAUCUGUGAGUCAUGUAAGUCACAUGAGCAACAAUUGAGAUGCUUAAUGGUGUUUUUCUUUUCUCAGC